rnacentral:rRNA from 1 species
UACGUAGGUGGCAAGCGUUGUCCGGAUUUACUGGGCGUAAAGAGCGCGCAGGCGGUCGUUCAAGUCGCGUGUGAAAGCCCCCGGCUCAACUGGGGAGGGUCACGCGAUACUGAUCGACUCGAAGGCAGGAGAGGGAAGUGGAAUUCCCGGUGUAGUGGUGAAAUGCGUAGAUAUCGGGAGGAACACCAGUGGCGAAGGCGACUUCCUGGCCCAAUACUGACGCUCAUGUGCGAAAGCGUGGGGAGCAAACAGG